rnacentral:rRNA from 1 species
AACGAACGCUGGCGGCAGGCUUAACACAUGCAAGUCGAGCGCCCCGCAAGGGGAGCGGCAGACGGGUGAGUAACGCGUGGGAAUCUACCCAUCUCUACGGAAUAACGCAUGGAAACGUGUGCUAAUACCGUAUACGUCCUUCGGGAGAAAGAUUUAUCGGAGAUGGAUGAGCCCGCGUUGGAUUAGCUAGUUGGUGGGGUAAAGGCCUACCAAGGCGACGAUCCAUAGCUGGUCUGAGAGGAUGAUCAGCCACACGGGGACUGAGACACGGCACAGACUCCUACGGGAGGCAGCAGUGGGGGAUAUUGGACAAUGGGCGCAAGCCUGAUCCAGCCAUGCCGCGUGAGUGAUGAAGGCCCUAGGGUUGUAAAGCUCUUUCACCGGUGAAGAUAAUGACGGUAACCGGAGAAGAAGCCCCGGCUAACUUCGUGCCAGCCGCCGCGGUAACAC